AUGUUAUUUAAUAUUAUUGUGAAUUAUAUCAUUUUCAUCAUAAAAAAAUUAAGAGAUAUAGCACAAUAUUGAUUUUAGUCCAUUUAUUCAAUACAAAACGCUUGGGAAGGAAUAGGGUAUUUACAAUCCAGUAUGGUGUUUGAGGUGAAAAAAAAUUUUAAAAAGGUACAAAAAGUGUCAAAUAUACGCGCGCAAAAAACGCCCUCAAAAAUGUAUUCCUGUACAAAACAAUUUAGAUUUGAUAUUAUAAAGUGAGAGUAUUACGUUUUUUCUUUACAUAAGUAAUAAUGUGAAAAAAAAUGCGCCGACCAUAAAAAUGGAUGUUUAUACGAAAUAGAAAAUCCCAAUAUCAAUCUUUAGUCUGAUGCGGGCUUAACAAAAAACCAAACUGUGAAUGCCAGCCAAAGAAUAAUAAUAAAAAGUAGAUGUUCUAUUUCGUAUAAACAUCCAUUUUUAUGGUUGGCGCAUUUUCUUAAUAUCAUUAUUUUUGUAGGCAAAAAAAUUUAAUACUCUUAUUUUGUAGUGUCAAAUCUAAGUUGUUUUGUACAAGAAUACAUUUUUGAGAGCGUUUUUUGCGCGCGUAUAUCCCAAUAAGACAGUUACGUGACAUCCAUGUGUAAUCUAUGUGAUUUACAUGGAUGCAGGUUUUUCUAUAAGUUAUCCACGUGAAUGCAACGUUCUUUUUUCAUCAUUGCAUCGAAUUCUUUUAUCUUCGAAAUAUAUAUUAGAUUUUUUGUGGAUAUUAAGAAAUAUUUAUAGGGAAUUUACAUGGAUAUUUCGAGAAACGCCGCGCGCUCGUCCGCCAGUUAGUGCACGGCGCCGUCAGGCGGCGUAACUCUCUUAGGAGUAAGGUGCACCCAAUGCGCUAUAUAAAGACCACUUGCAGCACGAUUAAGACAAGCAGUAAUUAGCUUCCUGCCCGAUUUGGAAGAGAACCGCCACAUAAUACUUUUAUGAUUUACUCAUUUUAAUUAAGUGAACAAUCCGCUACAAGAAAAUUGAUCUUCACUCUGGUUAAAUAAAGGAUCACUUAUCGAGCGAAAAAUUCAUUCUUAUAAAAAGUGAGAUGUCACUCCAUUUUGAAUAACUGUAUUUUACUAUCGCUUAAAGUAAAAUUCCAUUCUUUUGGAGUAACGUUUUACUCCAAGAAAUUUAGAGAAUACGUUAUGUUAUGAAGAAGUUUCUAAAAUUUAUAGAAUUUUUACGUGGUUUCUACGUCAAAUCUAUGAUCGCAUUCACAUAGAUUCUAGUACCGUUUUUAAGCAAAUGUCCACUCGAAUAUUCACGAGGAUUUCACGAUGUUGAUCCACGUAGCAUUAACGCGGACAUUACGUAUUAUUUUAUUGGGGUACUUGGCGCUUUUUUGUACUUUUUUUUAAAAAAGGUAAUUUUGCUAUGAUUUCACUUCUUUUGUAGUUUCAGGUAUGUCAUUUUGUUGAGUAAUGUAUAUGGAGAUUCUUAAGACAAUUUUAAAAUCCGUAUCAAAUUAAAAAUUGAGAUUGAAAUGAUUUUGUCGAUGUCAUUCAAGGUCAACUAUAUAUUUUCAUCACAUUUUCUUCUUAAUAGUCUAUAAACUUUGACUGAAAUGUUUUUACCUUAGUAAACCUAGCACUCCUACCACUAAAAAAAAAGGUAUAAUUUUCUGCUAAUUAUUUGCUAAUUUUUUUCUCUAGUCCUUAAUUUUUUGCUCCUACCUGUUUGCAGGAAAUUAAGAACAAAAAUAUGAAUGCCAGUCUAUGUGACGCUAGCACCCUCACUAAUAAAAAAAUGCAUAAACAAAAAAACAACUACAUCAAAAUUUUCUGCUUAUUUUGUGCUUUAAAAUACUGUAAACAUAUAUUAAAAAUAUUGAAUUAGUUAUCAAAGUAUCAGUACCGUCGUAAUGUAACGGUAUAAGAGAAAAUGAUUAAAAAUCAGAAGCUAAUCAUACAUGACAGACAUAAAGGUAUUUCUCAAUCAAAUAUUCGUAAAAUAUGCAAUUAAAAUUUUAAACUUACAAAAUAACCUUUGUGUCUGAUGGGACGUAUACGCAAGGUUGCUAAAAAACAUGUUUAAAAAGAAAAACAACAAAACAUUACGUUUUUUUAAACUAAAAACGUAUUUUUUUAGUUUUAAACAUCUUUUAAACAUAUUUUUAAACAUGUACGACACAAUUCGGAUGUUGUACGUCAGAUGUCGACACAGUGAAAACGUGUCUAAACACGUUUUACACGUAGCAUAAACACAGCACGCAGAGCGCAGUUGGGAGCGUAGUAUGAAAGUUUUCCUACAUGCGACAUUUAUACAUUAUUUUCAAAGAUCUACGUGUAAAAAUAAAGAAAUAUGGGCGGAAGACGACAGGAUGCGGUUUAGCAACAUUUUAUAAGAAUUAAAGGUGAUAAUAAACCAUUGAGAGCGAAGUGUAAACACUGUGAAAAAGAAAUGUGUUCUUUAGUAGCACGUAUGAAGAUGCACAUAAAUAAGUGCAAUGUCUUAAAUAAAGAUAAAUUGUACGAAGAGAUCGACAUUGACGACAUUACAUAUAAUGAGGAUCCUCCAAUAAAUAAUGAAAACUUGAAUGAUAAUAUUGAAACUGAUGAAACUGUUAACGAAUCUUCUGAAACCAGCGUCACCAGCACUGAAUUUAACAUUCAAAGUGAACGAAGCAAAACAGUUAAUCUCUUUGGAACUGUCUCGCAACCGCAAACAUCAUGUUCAACAAACUCAAUAUUAACGACUUCAUUAAAAUCAGGAAUAUCAAGCAAAAAUUUACAUUCUUUUGUAAUAAAAACAACAAAUUUAGAAAAAAUUUAUUGAUUUACAGAUAGCAAAGUUUAUAUAUAGUACAAAUUCAUUGUUUCGGCUUGUGGAACAUAAAAAAUUUAAAAAAAUGGUUGAUUUGUUACGUCCAGGGUACAAACCGCCAAGUCGCCAUCAAAUUGCUAAUGAAUUAUUAGAAAAUGUUUUUAUUUCCAUAAAACAAAGUGUAGAAAAAAAUUUUAAAGAUAAGAUAUAUGGCGAUGAAGGGCUGGAGUAAUCUUCAUGUCGAGCCAAUAGUUUGCAUCUCAAUAACCGACGUAUUAGAAGGAAAUAUUCAUUUGAUAGAUACAAUAGAUACUGCUGACAACAAGCACACUGCAGAUUACAUAUUAAAAUUAGCUGUCAAAGCAAAUAAAAAGUUGCCAAAAAUUUCGUUGUUUUAUUAAAAGUUUUGUAACUGACAACGCAAGUAAUAUGGCAAAAAUGCGAAGUCAACUUUCACAAUAUGAGGAAAUAGAUAUGCCAGAUAUAAUAACAUACGGUUGUUCAGCGCAUAUUUUGCAUUUAUUAGCAAAAGAUAUCGACGUGCCAGAACUGAAAGAAAAGGUGAAAAAAAUAAUAAAAUACUUUAAAUAUACACAUUUUUCAGCAUCUAAAUAUAAACAAGAAGGUGGUACUUGUCUCGUUUUAUCAUCAGAUGUUCGUUGGAAUACUUUAUGCAAUUGCUUUGAAUCAUUUUUUCGCGCUUAUUUUUAUUUCUUUUUAGACUUUGCAAUAAAUAUUCUCUAAAUCGCCAUGGAUACAACCUACUGUUGACUACAGCACGCCUCUUGGUCUACACGUGGAUCAGAAAAUAUAAAUUUCAGAAGACCUAAAACGUUGCACUAAAUAUGACAAGAAUGAUUAUAUGAAAAAUAUUUUGCAAUUAAAAAAACAAAAGUUAGAGAAGGAUAGAAAAUAUAAAAAUAAAAAACUUGAUAUUUUGAGAGAGAUUCAAAAGAAAAUGUGUUAAAAAGAAAUCAAUAAUGUUAUGUUCCUCAACACUUCAUUAUAUGUGUAUUUAGACUUUAUUUUCCAAAGAUUUUGUUAUACUACCCUUAUAGAAAUUUUAUCCUGGCAGUACUAAAUUGGCCAGUGAUUAAUUACUUAUUUUGAGUAUUAAAAGCAUUAAAAACAUUGCUUUUAAUACUCAAAAUAAGUAAUUAAUCAUUGGCUAAUUUAAUACUACUAGUAUUAACUUUCUAUAAAAAUAUACUAUAACGUAAUAUAGUUUAAAAGUUUUACUUUUCUAAUUUUUAAGAAGUAUAAACCGCAAAGAAGAGUGAUUAAUAGCAAUAUAUACAUAAGUAAACAUAAACAGUGAUUAAUAAGUACAUGCAUAAAAUGUAUAUUAAUUUGUUACUUACCAGUGUAAUAAUUAAUUAAAAAUUAAUUAUUAAACCAUUAAUUCUUGAACAAUUAAUUAACAAUUUAUUCCAUUAAACAAUUAAUUGAAAAUCAAACUUUGUAUUAAUUCAGUUAUUUCUUAGGAUAGUAAGAUAAUUUUUUAUUUGUUCUCUUCUGAUGACUCCUUGUUGCUGUUGUUCUGGAAUAACUUCCAAAGGCCCGGGAUCUUCCUCUGGGUCGUCUAGGAAGAUAACUGGGUAUUCAAUCUCAUCUUCUUUCGUGAGACAGAUAUUAUGGAGAACACAACAAAUAUUAUAUAAUAUGGUAUAAGGUCUGUUCUUCGCAUUGGCAGUUUGUCCAGCAUAUAUCUCCAUCGUCCUUUUAAUACACCUGUAGACCGUUCCACAAUCAUUCUGCUGUUAAAUGCCCAUUGUCCUUGUAUGGCAUCACAAAUUUUUGCAGAGUGUAAGUUGGAGCCUAUGAGGUAAUUAUCGUUGUCAAAAUAAUUAUUGUUACAUUUUUGUUGUAUUCCAGAAUAUUUAAACAUUCUCAUGUCGUGCACCGAUCCUGGCAUUUCAGCAUAGCAGUGAAUAAAUUUUCUUUUUUUUGUUGCAGACUACCUGUAAACGAGAUGCCCGAUGUUUACUGAGUGUUUUAUGCUUUUCUCUAAAAUAAAA